rnacentral:rRNA from 1 species
UACGAAGGGUGCAAGCGUUAGUCGGAAUUACUGGGCGUAAAGCGUGCGUAGGUGGUUUCUUAAGUCCGUUGUGAAAGCCCUGGGCUCAACCUGGGAACUGCAGUGGAUACUGAGAGGCUAGAGUGUGUCAGAGGAUGGUGGAAUUCCCGGUGUAGCGGUGAAAUGCGUAGAGAUCGGGAGGAACAUCAGUGGCGAAGGCGGCCAUCUGGGACAACACUGACGCUGAGGCACGAAGGCGUGGGGAGCAAACAGG